AUACUUACCUUGAUGCGACUCCCUUGCUCAUAAAUAAGGGAGCUCCAAAGAAACGGCUCUCAUUGCACUGCGAGAGUACGGUUCUUCGCGAAAUUCCUUAGGGGAUUUCGGCGUCGUAAUUUUUGAUUUC
rnacentral:snRNA from 21 species